rnacentral:rRNA from 1 species
AGUGAACGCUGGCGGUAGGCCUAACACAUGCAAGUCGAACGGCAGCACAGUAAGAGCUUGCUCUUACGGGUGGCGAGUGGCGGACGGGUGAGGAAUACAUCGGCAUCUACUUUUUCGUGGGGGAUAACGUAGGGAAACUUACGCUAAUACCGCAUACGAUCUACGGGUGAAAGCAGGAGAUCUUCGGACCUUGCGCGAUUGAAUGAGCCGAUGUCGGAUUAGCUAGUUGGCGGGGUAAAGGCCCACCAAGGCGACGAUCCGUAGCUGGUCUGAGAGGAUGAUCAGCCACACUGGAACUGAGACACGGUCCAGACUCCUACGGGAGGCAGCAGUGGGGAAUAUUGGACAAUGGGCGCAAGCCUGAUCCAGCCAUACCGCGUGGGUGAAGAAGGCCUUCGGGUUGUAAAGCCCUUUUGUUGGGAAAGAAAAGCAGCAGGUUAAAACACCGAUGUUCUGACGGUACCCAAAGAAUAAGCACCGGCUAACUUCGUG